GACGAACGCUGGCGGCGUGCUUAACACAUGCAAGUCGAACGAAGUGGCGAACGGGUGAGUAACGCGUAAUCAACCUGCCCUUAAAAGGGGGACAACAGUUGGAAACGACUGCUAAUACCGCAUACUGAAGGAGGGGAUGGCGUAUUAUUAGUUAGGUGGGGGGGGAACGGCCCACCAAGGCGAUGAUCAGGAGCCGGUCUGAGCGGUUGAACGGCCAAAUUGGGACUGAGACACGGCCCAGACUCCUACGGGAGGCAGCAGUGGGGAAUCUUCCGCAAUGGAGGAAAGUCUGACGGAGCAACUCCGCGUGAGUGAUGACGGCCUUCGUGUUGUAAAGCUCUGUUAAUCGGGACGCGGUACCGGAAUAGAAAGCCACGGCUAACUACGUGCCAGCAGCCGCGGUAAUAC
rnacentral:rRNA from 1 species